CUGGAGACAUUCAGGAAGCAAGCCCAGGAGUCUGCUGGAGCAGGGGACAUUGGCAGAGGAGAAGAGAGAAGGGGAGGUCCUCCUGCAUUCCUUGGCUCAUGGGACCUUCUUUCAUCAUCGAAGUGCAUCACCCAAUCUGCUUCUGUCAUCACAUCACCGUCUCUUCUGACUCUGACUCCUUCUGCGUGUCUCAUAAAGAUCUUUGUGAUGACAUCCGGUCCACCCAGCCUCAUGAUGGUGUGACCUCGGGGAGGUGGAAGGCGGUGUGACCGGAAAGGGGCAGGCCGAGGAGCAGGUGUUUCAAAUCCUGGCGAGUUCAAUUUCUUCACCUGGGUGGCGGUUACGUGGGAGCGAUUUUUACAACGUCGUACUCCUGCAAAUCAAGAUGGAGCCUCUGGUUCACACUUUUCAUUUAUGUCUCCCCUUAAUGUGUGGGUUAAAGUGAAGAUGAUAUUCUGCCUAAGAACUGACAAAGGAAAACAGAGAAACGACAUUCUGAAAAUUUUUGCCUUUUUAAAAAAAAUUGUUCAGAUUCCGUGAGAAGACGUAAUAUUUUUAGCCUCUACGGAGAGGAAAAGCAGAGGCCUAGCCCCACAGUCACAGAGUGGAUCCCACUAAACCCCUAAGGAGAGUGUGUUACCCAGAUUAGGUUUCUCCACAAAGGACAAAAGGCCCUAAGUAGCAGCAUCCUCAACAACGGAGAAGCUGAAUUUCGUUCAUUUUUUUCUUCGACACGAAGAGUCUGGAGGUUGACUGUCUGUGUCUGAUAUAUGAUCACUUGCUCCACAAACUCCUCCAAGACUCGGACACCUUCUAGGUCACUGCUCUACCAUCCCUCAGGACCCUCGGGGUCCUCAAGAUCCUUUCGGGAGAUUUGUGAGAUCAAAAUAUAUGAUACUAAAAUGUUAUUUGCCUUUUUACUCUCAUUCUCUCAAGGGUGAGUAAACAGUGGAAUGUUCUAGAGGUUCCAUGAUCUCGUUGUUCUGGAGGCUCGUGGAAUAUGUGCUUGUGUGUACUUGUGUUUUAAAUUUUUCUGUUUUCAUUUCUAACACUAUAAAUAUCAAUAAAUAGAACCUACACAAGGAAAAACUUUUUGGUGAUCUUUAAGAAUGAUUGAGAGCGUAAAGCGGGUCCUG
rnacentral:lncRNA from 1 species